UACGUAGGUGGCAAGCGUUGUCCGGAUUUACUGGGCGUAAAGCGCUCGCAGGCGGCUCGAUGCGUCGUGCGUGAAACACCCCGGCUCAACUGGGGAGGGUCGUGCGAUACGGUCGGGCUGGAGGCCAGUAGGGGGAUGCGGAAUUCCGGGUGUAGUGGUGGAAUGCGUAGAGAUCCGGAGGAACACCAGCGGCGAAGGCGGCAUCCUGGACUGGUCCUGACGCUCAGGAGCGAAAGCGUGGGGAGCGAUCCGG
rnacentral:rRNA from 1 species